UGGUGACAAUUGACAAUUGACUAUGUUGAC
rnacentral:piRNA from 1 species